rnacentral:rRNA from 1 species
CCUACGGGAGGCAGCAGUCGAGAAUCAUUCACAAUGGGGGAAACCCUGAUGGUGCGACGCCGCGUGGGGGAAUGAAGGUCUUCGGAUUGUAAACCCCUGUCAUGUGGGAGCAAAUUAAAAAGAUAGUACCACAAGAGGAAGAGACGGCUAACUCUGUGCGAGCAGCCGCGGUAAUACAGAGGUCUCAAGCGUUGUUCGGAAUCACUGGGCGUAAAGCGUGCGUAGGCUGUGUCGUAAGUCGUGUGUGAAGGGCGCGGGCGCAACCCGCGGACGGCACAUGAGACUGCGAGACUAGAGUAAUGGAGGGGGAACCGGAAUUCUCGGUGUAGCAGUGAAAUGCGUAGAUAUCGAGAGGAACACUCGUGGCGAAGGCGGGUUCCUGGACAUUAACUGACGCUGAGGCACGAAGGCCAGGGGAGCGAAAGGGAUUAGAUACCCGAGUAGUC